rnacentral:rRNA from 1 species
GAUGAACGCUGGCGGCGUGCCUAAUACAUGCAAGUCGAGCGAACAGAUGAGGAGCUUGCUCCUCUGACGUUAGCGGCGGACGGGUGAGUAACACGUGGAUAACCUACCUAUAAGACUGGGAUAACUUCGGGAAACCGGAGCUAAUACCGGAUAAUAUAUUGAACCGCAUGGUUCAAUAGUGAAAGACGGUUUUGCUGUCACUUAUAGAUGGAUCCGCGCCGCAUUAGCUAGUUGGUAAGGUAACGGCUUACCAAGGCGACGAUGCGUAGCCGACCUGAGAGGGUGAUCGGCCACACUGGAACUGAGACACGGUCCAGACUCCUACGGGAGGCAGCAGUAGGGAAUCUUCCGCAAUGGGUGAAAGCCUGACGGAGCAACGCCGCGUGAGUGAUGAAGGUCUUCGGAUCGUAAAACUCUGUUAUUAGGGAAGAACAAAUGUGUAAGUAACUAUGCACGUCUUGACGGUACCUAAUCAGAAAGCCACGGCUAACUACGUG